UCAUGGUAUACCUACGCAUCGUAUACCAAGAAUAGUAGGAAUACCAUUUAACAUGCUCAAAUAAAAUAUACCAUAAUCAAUAGCAAUCAUGGUAAUGUAGUAUACCCUAAAUUAUUGGAAAUACCAUUUAACAUAUUCAAAUAAAUUUUACCAUUAUUUAUUACACAAUUUACCAAGAAAAUAGUAUUGCCACACAACAUGCUCAAACAAAAUAUAACAUGAUUCAACAGUAAUCAUGACAUACUACACAUUAUAUUGAGAAUACCAAUUAAAUACUCAAAUAAAGCAUGCAAUGAAGAUUUGGUAAAUAAAAGUACAUCGAUAUAUUAAUAAUUAUUUGUUAAAUUUGGAUUAUAUAUAUAUCUUAUCUAUCUCUAUCUAUAUUAUAGAAGAGAAGGAAUUUCGACAUGGCUGCUUACAUGUCUUUUAAUCUUUGUUUAAGGGCAUUUUGGGACCUUUAACAAAAUCAAAUAAAACGUGUCCUUUAAAUACAAACCUAUACACUGAUAUAUAUCUCUAUACCGACGUGGCUCUAUACCUACGUCUACGUGUUUACUGCUUAUCACUCCACGUGUUACUGACUCUUCUUUCUUCUUCGUUUUUCGUACUUCAGAGAACUGUUUCUUCGGUGAUUAUGUUCUUGCUGCCUAUUCUGUCUAUAGGUCUUGUUUAUCAAUUUUUGUCCAUUGCUUCUUCUCUUUUUUCUCCAUCUUUUUUUUCUUCCCACGCUUCUUUAGGGUUCUCUUCAGGCUUUUUAAUUUUGCAAUUUAAUGGUGUUGUCUGUUAAAAUCUGCAGUGUGAUUGGAAGGAGAUACGAUAAAGUAAUAGAUAAUGAUUUAACUUGGUUGGAAUUCUACACCAGUUUUAUCCAAGAUAACAGUAAUGGUCCAGUUACAGUAGGUCUACCGCCAGCGUGGGUGGAUGUGUCAGAAGAAAUCAUGGGUAAUGUGUAACGGGUGCGAACAAAGAUGGCUGAGCUAGCCAAAGCUCAUGCUAAAGCGUUAAUGCCAUCAUUUGGAGAUGGUAAGGAAGAUCAGCGUCGUAUUGAGGCUCUUACCCAUGAAAUAACUGGUCUUCUCAAAAGAUCAGAAAAGAAAUUUCAAAGACUUUCUGCAGCUGGACCUUCCGAGGAUUCAAAUGUUAGGAAAAAUGUACAGGAAAAAAUAAAGAUAAAUUAUAAAGUCAUGGUGAUAAUCUAUGCAGCUAUAGUUUACGAGUAUGCUGGGAAUGCUUUAGCACUUAAAGGCUUCAAAGUUGUUUUGGAGAUAAGUUGCAGAAGUAAAAGCAUAUGAGUCUCUUAGCUUAUCAUUAUUGUGGUACAUACGCUUUGGAAUAAGGAACAUCUUAUACACUCAAGACAGCAAGCAAAGUUGUGCAAAGGAAUUGUGCUGGUGUUGUUUUUCUACUGAAUAUGAGAGUAUUGCUCUAAAUCUAUACUUUGUUCAAUCUUUAACCUCCAUCCCUGCUUAGAAAGAAUUAAGCUCAAACAACUUAAAAUGGAAGCUGUGGGGAGGGUCUCUUGUUAUUGUUGCUUGUUAAGAAAUUACCUAAAUCUCUUCCUAUA